GUGAUGCACUCUCCGCCCUCAGAGGGUGAUGAUGGACCACUAUCGGAGCCAGGAACCUCCUCUAGCGUGCUGUUUUGUUAGCAGGACAGCUCUGGGACCCAAAAAGCAAACUUGCUUGGCUGCGACCACUAGGCCGCAUGGCUGCCACCUCCUGUGACUAUUUUGGGGGGCAUAGACAGCGUCUCCUACUGUGAAUGCGUUUUCCGCCCAAUGCAGGGGAUCCCCUUCCCCGGGAAAGUGGCACGGGGGCUCCCGCUGCCGGGCCCGAUCCCCUUCACGCUUCCUGGCCCAGGUGGCUCCCCUUUGACUCGAACCACACUCUCGCGGGCGGCGUGGCAGAGGCCGGCCCCAGGAAGGCUGACUCUAGAGGAAGCCCAACUUCGCCCGAGGUUGCGAGGCAGACUUCCUCGGGAGUUGAGCUGGCGGCGUCGGACUUUUGAGUAAACGCAUUAUCUCUUGCAUGGCCAGCGCCCUCCUCCCCGUAUGUCCGUGUGGGAAGGAUCGUUUGGGGAGAGAGGUGGCCACCGGCUUCCUCUGGCGGCGCGGAUCGGGGCCCCGCCAGCUGGGGCCGCUUUUCUCCCCGACAGCGCCUCAUCAAGGGGAGUUUCUCGACCCGGGUAUAAAGCUAGCUUGCCGAAGGGGCUUGUUUCCAAGGGUGGGGGGUUGUCUCGGAUCGGGAGGGGGGGGGUGUCAGCCGUCUUGGGGAGGGGGGAAAAGUGAGAAUCGGGGGCCAUGGAAAGGACUCUGCUGGGGGCCCUCGGCCUUCUCUUGGCUCUGGCGGGGGCCUCGCUGGAGGACCAGAAGGGCGAGGAGUGCUGGGCUUGGACAUACGGUCCGGCCUCGACGAUGUUCCCUUUCCAAUGCCCGAAGAGCCUGGACGGGGCGGACGCCCGCUUUUGCUGCGGCCCUUGCCGCUCGCCCUUCUGCUGCGCCUCGGAGGAGGCCCGCCUGGAUCAGAAGCAGUGCCUGCGCGCCCUGCGGCGGCUGGGUGCGCUCCCGAGCGCCCCGGUGGAAGGAACGCGCCUCCCCUCCGCUCGGCAGGCGCUGAAGAGGGUCAGGAAGGACCAGGGCCCGGGAGAGAACACCAGCCGCCCGCCUCCCCGAGAGCCGGCGACCCUCCCCAGCGGCCACGCCGCCCAAAGAGAGGAGGCCCGCCCUUACACCCUCAGGCCAAGGCCCACCCUGCCUCCGGGGAGGACUCAACCAGGGAUACAUGGAUUCAUCUGGGUUCUCCUUGGAAUAGCAGCUAUUUUAGCCGUUUUCUGUGCUAUCUGCAAAUUUUGUCCCAACCCCCAGGAAUGUUACACAUACCUACGGCACGGUCAGUUCACCCCUCCCACCCCUCCUCCGGUGCACUACAGCGUCCGACCUCCCAGCCCUGCUGCCGUGCACUUUGACAUUGGCCCUCCACCCUAUCAGAAAGAUGAUGAUCUGCCGCCUUACUAUCUUCGGAAUCCUUUCGACGCCUUGGCUCGCCCUACUGCACAGGACAGGGCUGCUUGCAUGGAGCUGGGUGUCAUAAACCUUGGCUUCCAAGAAGGGGGAGCAGCUACGGCAUCAUCCGUGGCCCGUGUGGAUUCCUCAGCUUCUGAUUCUACAGGAGAUUCUGCUGGCACAGGAGAAGUUGCUGCCAAGCAGGUGCCCUCCUGUGCAGGAGAGGUUGCCAGCCAGCUGGUGCCUUCUGGCGCAGGACAGGUGGUGCCUUCCGGCGCAGGACAGGUUGCUGCUCAGGUGGUGCCUUCCGGUGCAGGACAGGUUGCCGCCCGGGUGGUGCCUUCCGGUGCAGGACAGGUUGCCACCCAGGCGGUGCCUUCCGGUACAGGACAGGUUGCUGCCCAGGUGGUGCCUGCUGCCAAAGGAGCGGUCAUAUCAGCGCCGGAACCUACCAGGAAGAGAAAAGCUGGCCCAUUUGCAAUCUACUGGGAAAGCAAAGAGUCAGAACUGUAGCUGAAGAUUUCAUGACGCUUGGCUCCUCUGCCAAAGCAAAACCCUUCUCCGGGUGUAUUACUAAUUAGUUUGUUUUUAGAAUCAAGGGGGAUUAGAAAUGAACAAAGCCCAAUCGUGAUUAUGCUUUUAAUCUUUUUCUUAAAUUUUUUUUGUAGGACUGUCUUUGUUGAAUAUUUUUGCUCAAAAUGAUUCUUAAUCCUUUUUUAAAAAAAACACACACACAACACCAGUAUGACGUAACGAUUAGUGUGGAGUUAUUUCACAGCACCCCACCUUUCCCCAGUCUUGGGCACUAGUUUAGAGGAACCCUUAAAGGAGCCCCUUGGAGUCUUGUUUGGUCUUCAGCCCCUUUCUGGGCACUGGAAGGACGCCAGCUGGAUUGAUCAUGUCAUGCUCUUGAUCAUUUGCCCAGGAACAAGGAACCGGGGGUGGGUCGGCCGGCCGGCAGGCCCAACACCCAGCGCUCUGUCUUUCCAGCAUAAACGAACAGUUCUAUGGAAGGACUUUUGCUCAAUGAGAGCCAAACAGAACUUGAAGGGGCAUUGCAAUUAAAUCAGGGUUAGGUAAUCUGUGGCCCUGCAGGUGUUGGUGGAUUUCAAGUCUCAUCAUCCCCAGCACCUACAGCCAGUGAUAGGAUUUGUGCUCUUAAGAACACCUGGGAAAGUCAUGUUAUCCAAUCUCUGACACACAGGAAUAUUUGGGGCUCGAAAUAGACAGAAGCUAAAGCAGUUCUUUAAAAUGACGCAUUACCAUCAAGAUUUUCUGUGACUGGCACCUCUAGUUCUUCUAUAGCAGGGAAAUGGCAGAUCUUGCAGUUCUGUGGGGUCAGUAUCAAGUUGCUUAGGAAGACCGCUAAAUAAGUAAAACGUAGGGUCUGUUUCUGAGAUAUAUUGAACUUGUGAAGAUGUAACAACAUGUUGAAAUUGCCCUACGGGACACUUAGCUGACUUGGUGCAUUUAAUUGCUCUAGCUAGGCAAGCCUACCUAAGAUUUGAUUUAAUGGCAGAUCUUGCAGUUCUGUGGGGUCAGUAUCAAGUUGCUUAGGAAGACCGCUAAAUAAGUAAAACGUAGGGUCUGUUUCUGAGAUAUAUUGAACUUGUGAAGAUGUAACAACAUGUUGAAAUUGCCCUACGGGACACUUAGCUGACUUGGUGUGUUUAAUUGCUCUAGCUAGGCAAGCCUAACUAAGAUUUGAUUUUCCUGGGUUUCCUCUAAGUUUUAGUGUUCUGAAUAAAAGUCUAGACGUUGGCA
rnacentral:lncRNA from 1 species